ACAGAGGUGCCGAGCGUUAGGCGGAAUCACUGGGCUUAAAGCGUGUGUAGGCGGGUCGUUAAGUGUCUUGUGAAAUCCCCCGGCUCAACCGGGGAAUGGCUGGGCAUACUGGCGAUCUUGAGCAGUCUAGGGGCAGAUGGAAUAAGUGGUGGAGCGGUGAAAUGCGUAGAUAUCACUUGGAACGCCGAAGGUGAAAAC
rnacentral:rRNA from 1 species